rnacentral:rRNA from 1 species
AGUGAACGCUGGCGGUAGGCCUAACACAUGCAAGUCGAACGGCAGCACAGUAAGAGCUUGCUCUUACGGGUGGCGAGUGGCGGACGGGUGAGGAAUACAUCGGAAUCUACUUUUUCGUGGGGGAUAACGUAGGGAAACUUACGCUAAUACCGCAUACGACCUACGGGUGAAAGCAGGGGAUCUUCGGACCUUGCGCGAUUGAAUGAGCCGAUGUCGGAUUAGCUAGUUGGCGGGGUAAAGGCCCACCAAGGCGACGAUCCGUAGCUGGUCUGAGAGGAUGAUCAGCCACACUGGAACUGAGACACGGUCCAGACUCCUACGGGAGGCAGCAGUGGGGAAUAUUGGACAAUGGGGGCAAGCCUGAUCCAGCCCUACCGCGUGGGUGAAGAAGGCCUUCGGGUUGUAAAGCCCUUUUGUUGGGAAAGAAAAGCAGCAGGUUAAUACCCCGCUGUUCUGACGGUACCCAAAGAAUAAGCACCGGCUAACUUCGUG